UUUCGUAGGCGGAUUGUUAAGUCUAGUCUUAAAAGCUGGGGCUCAACCCCAGGCAUGGAUUGGAUACUGGCAAUCUAGAGGGUACCAGGGGAGAUCGGAAUGCUCGGUGGAGGGGUGAAAUCCGUUGAGAUCGAGCAGAACGCCAAUGGCGAAAGCAAUUCUCUGGGGUACUCCUGACGCUCAUGUACGAAAGCUAGGGGAGCAAACGGGAUUAGAGACCCCGGUAGUCCUAGUCGUAAACUAUGAAUACUAGCUGCUUCUGUAACAGGGGGUGGCGUAAGCUAACGCGUUAAGUAUUCCGCCUGGGUAGUACGGCCGCAAGGUUAAA
rnacentral:rRNA from 1 species